UUAAGCUCGUAGUUGGAUUUCUGUUAAUUUUUAUAUACAAUACUACGGUAUUUAUAUAAUAUUAACAUAAUUCAUAUUACUUUUUAGUAUAUGAAACUUUACUUUGAGAAAAUUAGAGUGCUUAAAGCAGGCUAUUGCCUUGAAUACUCCAGCAUGGAAUAAUAUUAAGGAUUUUUAUUCUUCUUAUUGGUUCUAGAAUAAAAAUAAUGAUUAAUAGGGACAGUUGGGGGCAUUUGUAUUUAACAGUCAGAGGUGAAAUUCUUAGAUUUGUUAAAGACAAACUACUGCGAAAGCAUUUGCCAAGGAUGUUUUCAUUAAUCAAGAACGAAAGUUAGGGGAUCGAAGACGAUCAGAUACCGUCGUAGUCUUAACCAUAAACUAUGCCAACUAGAGAUUGGAGGUUGUUCCUUACUCCUUCAGCACCUUAA
rnacentral:rRNA from 1 species